rnacentral:rRNA from 1 species
GGGAUAACCAAACGAAAGUUUGGCUAAUACCGCGUAAGCUCCAAGGAGGAAAGUAGGGGACCUAAAUAAGGCCUUACGCUAUUUGAUCGGCCGAUGUCGGAUUAGCUAGUUGAUGGGGUAAUGGCUCACCAAGGCAAUGAUCCGUAGCGGGUCUGAGAGGACGAUCCGCCACACUGGGACUGAGACACGGCCCAG